UGUGUGUGUGUGUGUGCUGUGUGAGGGUGCUGGUAGUGUGCUCUGUGGGUGAGGGUGUUUGUGUGUGUGUGUGCGCUUGUGAGGGUGCUGUUAAUGUACUGUGUGUGAGGUUGCUGUUUGUUUGUGAGGGUACUGGUAGUGUGCUGUGUGUGUGUUUGUUAGGGAUCUGUUAGUGUGCUGUGCGAGGGUGCUGUUUGUGUUUGUGAGGGUACUGUUAGUGUGCUGUGUGUGUGUGAGGGUGCUGUUUGUGUGCUGUGUGUGUUUGUAAGGGUGCUGUAUGUGUGUGGGUGCUGUGUGUGUGUGGGUGUGGGUGCUGUGUGUGUGGGUGCUGUGUGUGUGUGGUUGAUGUGUGUUCUGUUUGUGUGCUGUAUGUGUGAGGAUGCUGUGUGUGUGCUGUAUGUGUGUGGGUGCUGUGUGUGUGUGCUGUAUGUGUGUGUGUGCUGUUUGUGUGCUGUAUGUGUGUGUGCUGUUUGUGUGCUGUAUGUGUGUGUGUGCUGUAUGUGUGUGUGUGUGCUGUAUGUGUGCUGUAUGUGUGUGUGCUCUGUAUGUAUGUGUGCUGUAUGUGUGUGUGCUGUAUGUGUGUGUGUGUGCUGUAUGUGUGUGUGCUGUUUGUGUGCUGUAUGUGUGUGUGUGCUGUGUGUGUGCUGUAUGUGUGUGUGCUGUUUGUGUGCUGUAUGUGUGUGUGCUGUGUGUGUGCUGUAUGUGUGUGUGCUGUAUGUGUGUGUGCUGUGUGUGUGCUGUAUGUGUGUGUGUGCUGUUUGGGUGAUUUGUGGGGGUGGAGGUGGGGGCAGAUAAGUUAAUAAAUAUCCCCCUUCC